UUAUUUGUGACACAUCUAAUUGCUCCUUGGGGUUGCCCCCAUCAAGCAGUUACCUAAUGCAUCAACGCACCAAUAAUUCUAUUGGAGGUCAUAGUGUCGAGGUUUCCUAUAUAUAAGCAAACAACACAUUAAGUAAAGCCAACUGCUUAUACUAAGAACAGAAGAAAAUGGCCUCUGUCAUGAAUGCUGUGGCCCUUGUGUUCCUGUUAAUGGCCGCUCAAGCCUACUGUGAUUCAGGAUUUGGAAGAGAAAUAAGAAGGAUAAUGUUUUCCAAACAACUGUUUCCUUCGUCAGCCAAGGGACCAAUCAGCAGCCUCUUUCUUCUCCGCAUAUGGUGCCAGUACUUGCAGGACCUUGGAUUUCAGAUACCGUCAGUGUGCUUUACCUGAAAUCUCCGCUGGACCUAUCCAGGAUGUGUAAGUGGAAGGAAGGAAGCGGUCUGUAAUCGUUGUAAUAUACCCAAAUUAGCUGGCAGCCUAUAUUUCAUCCGCAUUUGGUGCAAGUACUUGACGACAGGUGAAUACAGAUGUCAUAUCCUGCUUUGACUGAACUACGAAGUUUAUGAAGAUACAUGUAACAUGGCUGCAUGAGGGUGUUCCAUGCAAUUUUCCCUUAUCAGUGUCAUUUAGUUUAAUUCACAUUUGUAAUCGUCCCCUCACAUGUAAACCAUAAUGUAUGUUACACACAUAUUUCUAUAAUAAAGAUAAUUUUACAACUUU